UACGUAGGGUGCGAGCGUUGUCCGGAAUUAUUGGGCGUAAAGGGCUCGUAGGCGGUUUGUCGCGUCGGGAGUGAAAACCCAGGGCUUAACCCUGGGCUGGCUUCCGAUACGGGCAGACUAGAGUCCGGCAGGGGAGACUGGAAUUCCUGGUGUAGCGGUGAAAUGCGCAGAUAUCAGGAGGAACACCGAUGGCGAAGGCAGGUCUCUGGGCAUUAACUGACGCUGAGGAGCGAAAGCAUGGGGAGCGAACAGG
rnacentral:rRNA from 1 species